GAUCAUGGCUCAGGAUGAACGCUGGCGGCGUGCCUAACACAUGCAAGUCGAGCGAGAAAUUCAUGAAGGAAUCUUCGGAAGACGGAAUGAAUGGAAAGCGGCGGACGGGUGAGUAACGCGUAGGUAACCUGCCCUGUACAAAGGGAUAGCCAUUGGAAACGGUGAUUAAUACCUUAUGACACCGCGAAAUCACAUGAUACUGCGGUCAAAGAUUUUUAUCGGUACAGGAUGGACCUGCGUCUGAUUAGUUAGUUGGUGAGGUAACGGCUCACCAAGGCGACGAUCAGUAGCCGACCUGAGAGGGUGAUCGGCCACAUUGGAACUGAGACACGGUCCAAACUCCUACGGGAGGCAGCAGUGGGGAAUAUUGCACAAUGGGCGCAAGCCUGAAUGCAGCAACGCCGCGUGAACGAAGAAGGCUCUUGGGUCGUAAAGUUCUGUUCUGAGGGAAGAAGAAAGUGACGGUACCUCAGGAGAAAGCCCCGGCUAACUACGUGCCAGCAGCGGC
rnacentral:rRNA from 1 species